rnacentral:rRNA from 1 species
CCUACGGGUGGCAGCAGUGGGGAAUAUUGGACAAUGGGCGAAAGCCUGAUCCAGCCAUGCCGCGUGUGUGAAGAAGGCCUUCGGGUUGUAAAGCACUUUCAGUGGGGAAGAAAGCCUUGGGGCUAAUACCCUCGAGGAAGGACAUCACCCACAGAAGAAGCACCGGCUAACUCCGUGCCAGCAGCCGCGGUAAUACGGAGGGUGCGAGCGUUAAUCGGAAUUACUGGGCGUAAAGCGCGCGUAGGCGGUCUGAUAAGCCGGUUGUGGAAGCCCCGGGCUCAACCUGGGAACGGCAUCCGGAACUGUCAGGCUAGAGUGCAGGAGAGGAAGGUAGAAUUCCCGGUGUAGCGGUGAAAUGCGUAGAGAUCGGGAGGAAUACCAGUGGCGAAGGCGGCCUUCUGGACUGACACUGACGCUGAGGUGCGAAAGCGUGGGUAGCAAACAGGAUUAGAUACCCGGGUAGUC